rnacentral:rRNA from 1 species
UACGUAGGGCGCAAGCGUUGUCCGGAAUUAUUGGGCGUAAAGAGCGUGUAGGCGGCCAGGCAGGUCCGCUGUGAAAACUCGAGGCUCAACCUCGAGAGGUCGGUGGAAACCGUCUGGCUAGAGUCCGGAAGAGGAGAGUGGAAUUCCCGGUGUAGCGGUGAAAUGCGCAGAUAUCGGGAAGAACACCCGUGGCGAAGGCGGCUCUCUGGGACGGUACUGACGCUGAGACGCGAAAGCGUGGGGAGCGAACAGG